AUUGAACGCUGGCGGCAGGCUUAACACAUGCAAGUCGAGCGGGGACUUCGGUCCUAGCGGCGAACGGGUGAGGAAUGCUUGGGAAUCUGCCCAGUAGCGGGGGAUAACGUUUCGAAAGGAACGCUAAUACCGCAUACGCCCUACGGGGGAAAGGGGGGGAUCUUCGGACCUCUCACUAUUGGAUGAGCCCAAGUCGGAUUCGCUAGUUGGUGGGGUAAAGGCCUACCAAGGCGACGAUCCGUAGCUGGUCUGAGAGGAUGAUCAGCCACACUGGAACUGAGACACGGUCCAGACUCCUACGGGAGGCAGCAGUGGGGAAUAUUGGACAAUGGGCGAAAGCCUGAUCCAGCCAUGCCGCGUGUGUGAAGAAGGCCUUCGGGUUGUAAAGCACUUUAAGCGAGGAGGAAUGGCUCUCGGUUAAUAACCUUGAGCAGUGACGUUACUCGCAGAAUAAGCACCGGCUAACUCUGUGCCAGCCGCCGCGGUAACAC
rnacentral:rRNA from 1 species